GAUGAACGCUGGCGGCGUGCCUAAUACAUGCAAGUCGAGCGAACGGACGAGAAGCUUGCUUCUCUGAUGUUAGCGGCGGACGGGUGAGUCACACGUGGAUACCCUACCUAUAAGACUGGGAUAACUUCGGGAAACCGGCGCUAAUCCCGGAUAAUCUUUUGAACCGCAUGGUUCAAAAGUGAAUGACGGUCUUGCUGUCACUUAUAGCUGGAUCCGCGCUGCAUUAGCUAGUUGGUAAGGUAACGGCUUACCAAGGCAACGAUGCAUAGCCGACCUGAGAGGGUGAUCGGCCACAUGAGAGCGUGGACACGGACCAUGCGCCUACGGUAGGGAGCAGUAGGGUAUCGGCCGCAAUAGUCGGAAGCCUGGCAGAGCGGGGGCGAGUGAGAGAUGGAAGUCUUGCGAGCGGAAAACUCGGUUAUGAGUGAAGAACAGAUUUGGAAGGAGCUGUGCACUGCGUGACGGUACCUAGUCAGGAAGCCACGGCUAACUACGUG
rnacentral:rRNA from 1 species